GUGGGGCUUCUGGGAGGUGACUGGAGCACGGGAGUAUAAUACUGGAUUUGUCCACUGAUAGGUUUAUAGCUGGGUGUGAUGUUAGCUGGUGAAGCCUGGUGGAAGAGGUGGCUCAUUGUGUGAGUGGCCUGGAAUGGAAUACAUCCCUCCUCUUCCCUUGAUGGCUGCUGCUUCCCACCUGCCAUGCCCCUCUGCCAUGCUGCCCUACCCUGGAGCCAACUGACUAUGAACUGAAACUUUUACAAACUAUUGUUUGCAUUCCUUCGUGUCUGAACUAGUGAAGGCUGACGUUGGCUUCUCAGUUCUUUUCCUGUUCAGGGAUGGAGUUGCCCCUGAAGCCUGAACUGAGCCUCCAGCAAUCUUAACCAAGCAGAUCAGGCCGCUGGCAGGUUAGAAGGAAAUAACUGGAAUUCAGGUACUGAUGGACUUUCCUUAAUGUGCUGCCCAAAUAUUGUGGUAAAUACUGCAUGAGAUGCUGGGGAUCAAAGCCAAGACCUCAUACAUGCUUGGGCUCAGGAUGCAUGUGAUGACACUUCACGUUACGAAAUAGAAAACCAAGUGACUCUGUUUCAUGAUCCAUAAACCCCCUAACAAAAUCCCUCAGACACCAGGGAAAAAGCCGCCUUUGUGGUUCUAUUUUUAAUCUCUCUAUUUUUUAAUUCUCCUCAUUUCACCUUUAAAACUUCUCCUUGCUUCAAAUUUUUGAAUAUGCUCAAUUUACAAUGGCACUUGUAUUGCUAUUGCAAUGCCCUGCUAUUCCUAAAUAAAUAUAAUUAAUCCUUAGAGAAUCUUUCUGUCUGAUUGCUAUUUUGUUUAACAGCAGU
ensembl:lncRNA